UAUAAUAUCAGGAGGUAGUUUAUUUAAAAUAUUAAUUUUGGGGAUUAAUGAUAAAGUUAUUUCUUUUCUCUUGA
rnacentral:tRNA from 1 species